rnacentral:rRNA from 1 species
UGAGAGGACGACCAGCCACACUGGGACUGAGACACGGCCCAGACUCAUACGGGAGGCAGCAGUGGGGAAUUUUGGACAAUGGGGGCAACCCUGAUCCAGCAAUGCCGCGUGAGUGAAGAAGGCCUUCGGGUUGUAAAGCUCUUUUGUCAGGGAAGAAAUGGUGUGUCCUAAUACGACUCCGUGAUGACGGUACCUGAAGAAUAAGCACCGGCUAACUACGUGCCAGCAGCCGCGGUAAUACGUAGGGUGCAAGCGUUAAUCGGAAUUACUGGGCGUAAAGCGUGCGCAGGCGGUUCGGUAAGACAGAUGUGAAAUCCCCGGGCUUAACCUGGGAAUGGCAUUUGUGACUGGAUGGCUAGAGUGUGGCAGAGGGGGGUAGAAUUCCACGUGUAGCAGUGAAAUGCGUAGAGAUGUGGAGGAAUACCGAUGGCGAAGGCAGCCCCCUGGGAUAACACUGACGCUCAUGCACGAAAGCGUGGGGAGCAAACAGGAUUAGAUACCCUGGUAGUCCACGCCCUAAACGAUGUCAACUAGUUGUCGGGUCUUAAUUGACUUGGUAACGCAGCUAACGCGUGAAGUUGACCGCCUGGGGAGUACGGUCGCAAGAUUAAAACUCAAAGGAAUUGACGGGGACCCGCACAAGCGGUGGAUGAUGUGGAUUAAUUCGAUGCAACGCGAAAAACCUUACCUACCCUUGACAUGUACGGAAUCC